rnacentral:rRNA from 1 species
GAGGGGCAUCACGGAAAAGCUUGCUUUUCUGGUGGCGACCGGCGCACGGGUGCGGAACGCGUAUGGAACCUGCCCCUGUCAGGGGAAUAGCCCAGGGAAACUUGGAUUAAUGCCCCAUGGUACCGCGAUAUCGCAUGAUAUUGCGGUUAAAGAUUUAUCGGACAGGGAUGGCCAUGCGUACCAUUAGUUAGUUGGUGGGGUAACGGCCCACCAAGGCAGCGAUGGUUAGGGGCCCUGAGAGGGGGAUCCCCCACACUGGUACUGAGACACGGACCAGACUCCUACGGGAGGCAGCAGUGAGGAAUAUUGGACAAUGGGCGGGAGCCUGAUCCAGCCAUGCCGCGUGCAGGAUGACGGCCCUAUGGGUUGUAAACUGCUUUUAUACGGGAAGAAAUGCGCCCACGUGUGGGCGUCUGACGGUACCGUAAGAAUAAGGACCGGCUAACUCCGUGCCAGCAGCCGCGGUAAUACGGAGGGUCCGAGCGUUAUCCGGAAUCAUUGGGUUUAAAGGGUCCGUAGGCGGGCCUGUAAGUCAGGGGUGAAAGUUUGUGGCUCAACCAUAAAAUUGCCUUUGAUACUGCAGGUCUUGAGUCAUGGUGGGGUCGCCGGAACAUGUGGUGUAGCGGUGAAAUGCAUAGAUAUCACAUAGAACACCGAUCGCGAAGGCAGGUGGCCAACCAUGUACUGACGCUGAUGGACGAAAGCGUGGGUAGCGAACGGGAUUAGAUACCCCGGUAGUCCACGCCGUAAACGAUGGAUACUAGCUGUGGGGACUUCGGUCUCCGUGGCCAAGCGAAAGU